UUAAUGAAUUAUAUGUAUAUGAUAAAUUAGCUCACGGCUUGACCGGGCUCAAAUAUUAUUUUAGUAAAAUAAACAAACUUUAUACGCCAAAACCAUUUUUGCCCUGGUUCAAAUCAGAUAAAAUAUAUUUGAAGUUUAAAAAAAAAAAAAAAAAAAAAUUGGAAUGGUGGUGGUUCCUCUGUUGUCUUCUUCACUCUUUGCCUCCGCCGGACCUGGAAUUCCACCGGACGUCCCUCAAUAAUCGCCGGUUGGAUAUCCUUCAUCGCCGGGUAAUUGACUGGAAUUUAUUUCUAUGAUUGCGUGAUUCUAUAAUUAUUUCGAUGGCAAUAAUGGAGUCUGGAAUUUAUUUCACAAGAUUAGCAUUCAUUCUUUCUUUUCUUUCUGGAGCUCCAUCGACCGUUAGUUAUUUCAAGAUUUCUGAAGGAUGUAGUUAUUCCAUUCAUGAUUAUCAUCAGAAUCUUGGUAUAAUUUGGAGCUUAUCUGUGGAUAUAGAUCCAUUAUCAAUGAACUGCAGAUCUUCUUUUGCGCGUGGGCACUAAUGUGGAUCUACCACAGUCUUUAGUGGAAAUGGUUACUCAUGGUGAUAGACAAAGAUCCGAUAAUUUUCGAGUAUGAAUUCUAGCAGAGCAUUCUUUGUUAGGCGGUUUUUGGUUUCGAUACUGAUUUUAAUGGACAUGUUGUAAUAAUUUAUGGAGCUGUUUAUGGAAUACCAAGUUUUAAAGAAUUUCUUCUCUUGCUUAAGAUUAGUAGAAAUUCAAAAAUCGAGGCACUGUUGCUUCAGUGUGAGCGUAGUGAUACAGAAAAUGGAUAGUGAACAUUGCAAUUUUUUUAUAAUGCAGACUAUUUUUUCAGCAACAACUAUACUAAAAACAUCAUGGCACAUGAAUACGAUUUCAAUAUAGGAGAUUGGAUCCAUAUUUUGUAUCAUUUUUAAGUCCGGAUAAGUGAGCUGUAAAUUAAACAGGAAGCUGUAGUCUCAUUUCCCCUGUAUAAUGAGGCUCGUAAAUUUUAUCACCAUGAGGAGAAGAUGAUUCAGACAGCUAUACAUGCAUUAACUCGGCAUAUACAAUGAGAGACACGCACUCAAUGAAGAGAAAAGAACUACUUCUGGAAAUUGAUAAAAUUGUUGAUGAUCUAUACUACUUUAAGGACAUAAUUAAGGUUGGAGAAUUUCUUUUGAGUACAUUAGUAACUGAAAAUCUUCUCAGCCUAUUAUUCUUUCCAUUACUUCAUUUCAGACAGAUCAAUGUGAGAUAUUCUUCCUCUUGUCUGUCUCAUGAGAAACACUAGUUUGCAGUGUUAGUGGCAUUUUCUUGUGAACAACUAUAAUUUUUUUGAGUAUGAGUGCAUUCCAUUUCUUAUUAUGUUAUCACAUCAUGUGGUCUUGCGCUUUUUACCUUUAGAAGCAGUGCUGAGUUAUUUGAUAAUGUACCAUAUAUAGUUGUUUGAGGGCCUGGUUUUCUUGAAAACGUUAUAUUUUACCAUCACUAGAUUUCUAUGCCAAUAAUUAUUUUACGUAUGUACAUAGACUUGGAAAGUGUCAAGUAGCAAAUUUGCUCAUAAGGUCGUAGAUUGAGUAAACAGAUUAACUUUUAUUGCACUCGACUUUUAUGGAUAUCUUGAUAUAAAACCAAGCUUUGGGCGACUGCCAUACUAAAUUUACUGCGAUCUUUGUUCUCUGUCUCUCUCUCGAUAUUGAAGAUUUUCAUUUAUUGUUCAGGGCUCAAAAUUUUCUCCAGUCACUUACUCUGUUUCUCGUUUCUUGUCUUUUUCAAGUUAUUGGCGUAAAAGGCAUAAUCAAUUCUGUGGUUGCUAUAUUCUAUAUCCUUGUAUGUAUUCAAGCGUGAAGGAGAAGAUAACAUCAUCUACCCUAGUGAUGAAGCACAUGCACGAGUACAAACAGUCAACGUGAAACUUGUGGAGAUCCUGUUUGACCAUUCUGCUUGGGGAUAGUUUCUAACUCGACUAUAAUAAACAUCUAGCUAAAAAGGAGAGGCUUUUUACAUUUUUUAGUUAUUUGAUUUUUUUUUUCCCAAAAAUGUUGUAGAAAAUGCCUAGAAUUGUCUUGUGCAUUGUACUAUUACCAAUUUUUCCGUGAUGCAGGAGUGGAAUACUUAGAUUGUAUUUUUUCCACAAUCUGAUUGAAAAACUUUGUUUCUUAUGGUCAA